GUUCCAGGCUUGUUCUGUGUAGGCCUCACUGUGGUCUAUGUACACUCUAUGCAUUCUCCCCAUGCAGGUUCACUUGUGUUCUUCUACCUACAGAUGCUGGGAGAGAAACAUCAUCCCCUGGAACUGCCCUAAGCGAGAAGCAGGCCAAGAAGGAAAAGGAGAGACUGAUUAAAGAGCUGCAGCUCAUUACCGAGGAGAGAAAUGACCUGAGAGAUCGCCUGAGGUUUCUGACAGAGAGAUCCAUGAAAAAUAGGUAUGAACCGAGCCAAAUGGUCUUGUUUCAUUCCUGGGUCUGCAAGGUUACCUUCAUCUUAUCCAUUUAGGUUUUGGGUUCUAGAAAGCUGUGCCUCCCUAACCACCCUGUGCUAAACCUCACCUCCCAUAUAGAGGAGAUUCAGAACCUGACCCUUCCUGAGGAGCGAGAUGGAAAAUGGACUCAUCUGCUUCCAUUUAUUGAAAAGCAGAACUUGUGGUCUGAAUGAAGAAUUCAGGGAUAAAGUCAGGGAGAGUGAGUUCCCAGUGUGCAUUUGCAAAGCCCUUGACAGCUGGUGGCUUUGCAAGAUUGUAAUUGCAGUGAGUUUAUGGUGAGUCUCUAUACUUGCUAGGCAGGGGACUGAGUGCUGGAAGAUCCAGGCAGCAGCCUGAGGGGCCUGGUCCCAAACUGUUCAUCUCAAUGCUUGACUAGAAGGUCUCAGGCUCAGGCCUGUUUGUUAUUGUCUGUGUGUCUUGCCCUCUGAGACAGCAAUGGUGCAUGCAUUUCUCCUGGUUCUCACAGUGCUCUCUGUUUCCAUAUUUGUCUUUCUCUGACUCUGUUUACAUUUCACUUUUUUGUGGGUGUGUCUUAGUCUGUGAGUCUGUGUGUGCAUACAUCCAAAUGCAUAUGGACAACUUUUAAAUGUUUAUAUUUCCCUCCACAUUGGAAUCUAGGGGUCUAUGUCUUGGCCUGAGUAUUUACUUGUAACACCUUCAUGGUGAUGUGAAUGCCUUGUUCUGGGAGCCCCACUGUCAACAACACAGUUCUUUGUCUAUGUGACCACGUUUGUAUGUUUAUUUUUAUUCUUUGUGUAGAUUAUAAUUUUGUGUUGAUAUAAGGUCUUUUAUCAAAACAGGAGAAAAGAAAUCACAGGUUUCUGGCUGUGUUGGGGUGGGGAGCAUGGAGAGGUGUGGCCUAGGCUCUUGAUAGCUCAACUGGCUUGACUGCAGAUUUCCUCUUGAUUGAACAAAGGGAGCCAGGGAAGCCUCCAUCUGGAUGCUGAGAUUCUGGUGUCCUGGACGCAGAAAAACACGUUUCUGAAGCUGAAGAAGAUCUAAUAUGUAGAAUUCAGAAGGUGUCCUUCCAGGACUGGGGUAGUACAGGACCCACCCUGAGUUCAUAUAUUCCUAAAUGCUGAUGUUCAUUGGAAUCUAUCAUUUGGGGCCAGGCCACACUUCAGGCCAAAUCCAUAUUAUGAAGACCUGGAGAGAAUGGAGGAGGCGGUCAUGUCAAUUCUGCACAACUUAGAGAUGGAGAACACUGAGAUCCAUGAGAACAGCCAUAAGCUGAAGAAGGAGAUUACCUUCUCUAGGUAAGUCCUGGUCAGAAAGGCUAUCACCUGUGGAAUGGCCAUUUCUGAUUUCUUUGUUCUGGAUUGGACAGUCUUCAGCUAUGAUUCUAUCUCUUGUGCUGUUUACACAUCAGUGUGCCAGGGUCAUUAGGACUCAGUUUUCAGUUCCACAAAAGACUGUUACUCAUCCCAGGAUUGUCUAGGCAUCUUCAGAAGGCUCUAGAUAGAACAGCAUUGAUUGAAGUCAGCAGAAGGUUAUUAGGCUGACCUGGACCUCUGGGGUCACACCAGGUUUUACAAAACUCAGUGUGUGGACCACAUGGUUAGCAUGACCUUCUCUUGGUUCUACUGACCUCCUUUGAGGGUGUUGGCCCACUGCUAAUUUAUGUUGCCCCCAUGCAUUGGGCUUUCAUGGAUAGAUGUAGAUCCGUGUUCUUUUUGAGAGAUGUGGACACUAAUUGGUGCUCAGGCCAAACAAACAAUUUAUUCUUCCCCGAAUUAACUCUUUGUGGUUUGUGGAGCAGCCUUAUAUGUAUCGAGAUGUAUUUUAUUAUGUCUUCAUGGGUAUCUGGGACCUGGUAGAGUUAGUGGGACUUGGGAGUAGGAAUGGGAGAAAGGGGCAGCAUGAUCUUACUAUGCAGACUGUAUUUCCAGAAACCUGCUCAGCCAGCUCCUGAUGGAGAACACAUGCAGGAAGAAGUUGGUCCCACUGAAGCAGGAGAGCAAGGAGGGACAUCUUGAGUGUGCACUGAACCAGAAAUAUUUGGUUGACUUCAACAAGAAAGAUAAAGACCAGCAACGUCCAGACCCAGCAUCAUCUGGUAGGGACGAGCAGCUGUGUUAGCUUAACAAUAUCUGAUAAAAUUUGCCAAUUUCAUACAUCUGUGCUUUCUCCUACCACCUUUCUAAUUUACACUCACAACCAGCCAACCCCCUCAUGCAAUGGAAUUGUUCAUUGCUCUGCCUAUGCACAAGUAUUCUGGGAAGGUAAACACUUUUCAGAAACUGAAUUAUUUUGCAAGUAUAUUUUGCUGCUCUUUUUGAAGCUGCAGUCUAGAAAUGGUGACAGAUGAAUAACAUACCUCAUUAUUGCAUAUCCAUGUGAUAGAUUGGAUCCUAUGUAGAGUUUUGAACAAGUUCUUGGUUCUUUGACAAAUGACACUCUGUGGUCAUGUGACUUCUUGUGUAGGAAGCACCUUUCUGGGAUAAGAACCAAGUGCAAAUGUCAAAUUAGUACUUGUCAUUGGCUUUAACCUUGGUGACAUAUGGACAUCUCCUUUCUUCCUGCAACCCAAUGAGGUCUCUUCCCAUUGCCCUGUUCUUGGUUUGCACUGGUAUAAGUCUGGGUCCCAGAUUGGCAGCCCACAUUACUUUGAGGCUCUCUGGAGAUUUUGCCUUGCCUGCAGAGUUAGCAACAAUGAUAUCAGUUAAAAGGUCCAUGUCGACUGUCCAAUAGAACUGAGGUGGUAGAAGGCAGCAUUCUGACAGCUGGCUUGCAUUUCCCCACAAAAUCAGUGUCUGAAAAACUGCCUUCCUCUCCCAGGUCUCAGAAAGUGCAAGAGAGCUGGAAUUGGACACACCCCAGUAAGAGAGCUUCCUGAAGAAUAAGUUGCUUUCUCAGGAGUCCCUGAUGACAAACAUCCUGAAUGAAAACACCACUUAAGAGACAACUUGGGGGACCGCCUUUCAUUAUGUGUGCUAGAGUAGAAACAGCAAUACAUCUGUGCUUCUAAAUGUUCGUUAAGAAUAUGAUGUUUAGAAAUAUUUUUGUUAUGAUUUUAAUUGAAAUUUUCUUUUUGUUGUUUCAUAUUUAUAUGUUCUUGUUACUAUUUUUCACUUUCAACUAUUUUUAAAUAUUUUUAUUCAUUUUAAUCCUG
rnacentral:lncRNA from 1 species